CCCUUAGAUGUUCUGGGCCGCACGCGCGCUACACUGAUUCAUGCAACAAGUUUUGUCCUUGGCUGAUAGGCCUGGGUAAUCUUUGAACGUGAAUCGUGAUGGGGUUAGAUGAUUGCAAUUAUUCAUCUUCAACGAGGAAUUCCUAGUAAACGCAAGUCAUCAGCUUGCAUUGAUUACGUCCCUGCCCUUUGUACACACCGCCCGUCGCACCUACCGAUUGAAUGGUCCGGUGAAAUCUUCGGAUCUGAGAGAUGUCUGAUUAAUUUCGGACGCCUUUUGGAAAAGUUGCUUAAACCUUACCAUUUAGAGGAAGGUGAAGUCGUAACA
rnacentral:rRNA from 1 species